CUUAAAUUCUAACUAUUAAUGAACGUAACUAACUUUGGUGGAUUUCCAACUACUGCUUUGUAGUUGCCCGACAUCAUGGGAAAUAAACAUUGGUGUUGGUGUGCAAAUCCUUGUUUGUUUUCAAGCCGGAAAUUUGAGUAAUUAAGCCAUGGUUGCUUUUCGUGGAUAAAGAGGUGGGAGGAGGAGAGCACCCUGAACGAUCGCCCUCGUUCCGGUGCUCCACGAAAGACAACCGAAGAUCAAGAUGUUCAGAUCAGGGAGAUGGUGGAGGUGAACCCCUUCACCAAUGCAGUUAGUAUACAAGAAGAAUUGCAACUCCCAGUAACAAGUCGAACAGUGAGAAAAAGAUUGCACGCAGAUGGUAUUCAUCACAUUGUAUGUGAUAAAAACCUCGAGCACAAGAUUACCCGGAAAAAGAAAGAAGCCUGGAAAGGAAUCACUAAUAUUUUUAAUGCUGCCUCUGUCGGCGACAAAAGAACGGAAAAGCAAGUAAGGAAGAUGUGGGAGCGAGUAAAGGGAAAG